AUUGAACGCUGGCGGCAGGCCUAACACAUGCAAGUCGAGCGGCAGCGGAAAGUAGCUUGCUACUUUGCCGGCGAGCGGCGGACGGGUGAGUAAUGUCUGGGAAACUGCCCGAUGGAGGGGGAUAACUACUGGAAACGGUGGCUAAUACCGCAUAACGUCUUCGGACCAAAGUGGGGGACCUUCGGGCCUCACACCAUCGGAUGUGCCCAGAUGGGAUUAGCUAGUAGGUGGGGUAAUGGCUCACCUAGGCGACGAUCCCUAGCUGGUCUGAGAGGAUGACCAGCCACACUGGAACUGAGACACGGUCCAGACUCCUACGGGAGGCAGCAGUGGGGAAUAUGGCACAAUGGGCGCAAGCCUGAGGCAGCCAUGCCGCGUGUGUGAAGAAGGCCUUCGGGUUGUAAAGCACUUUCAGCGAGGAGGAAGGCAGUCGUGUUAAUAGCGCGACUGAUUGACGUUACUCGCAGAAGAAGCACCGGCUAACUCCGUGCCAGCAGCCGCCGUAA
rnacentral:rRNA from 1 species